CUGAGGCAAAAGCCGAACAGGAUCGCGGGCGGGAGCAUGGAUCGAGGGCUGCGGGGGCUCGCCGGGCCGUCGGGCGGCCAGGGACAGCGAUUCACUGUGGAGUUUCCAUGUAAAAAGUGAGUCUUCCAAGGAUGGAACAUCCAGAAUUCCUUUCCAGACCGUGUUUCCAGGGUUUGUCUGCAUUCCUGCUGUGCCUUGAGAAAGCUGCAGGACCAUCGCCUAUGGAGUCCUGAGAGGAGGAGGUGGUGCGCUGGAUGAUGGAGCAACCUCUGCACAAGGAGAAACACCACAUCUGGCAGGCAGGCAGGCAGGCCUAGUCUUUGCUGUGUAUCCCUAAGGACUUUUCUCUCUUCUGCCACUAUGCUCCCAAAACAGAACCUGGUUAGUAACUGUAGAAACAACUGUUGCAGAACAAACAACUGAAAGGCUGAUUGUUGGUUAACAAUCCUUUGUGCUCACGCACUGAAACAUCUCAGCGAGAGGCAUCAGGUCAGCCGUGCCUCGGAAGUAAGCUGACCAGAGGUCUGAGUGCAAAGUGCACAUACAGGCUGACUGUGAGGUUUCACUGAAGUUAACAGAGAUGUUUGUGCAAGCCUAGCUAUAUAAUAACUGCUUUUUACAUGAGAUUCUAUGGGCUCUGUGCUAUUACUUGGGGUGUUCCUGCUAGCACAUGUCAUCCAAUUUUGAGAUAAUGCAUUUGGUUUGUCUAUCAUCUUAUUUUUUAUUCUGCUUUUGCUACAAUUAAAAGAUACAGACCUUGGAAAAACUCAGUGAAGUCUUUCAGGAUCCACCCUAGUACAUACCAGGUAGGAACAAGACCCUCAGUAACACAGUAAUAGUUUAGAUAACUGAACAUAGGCCACUGCAGAAGAUCAAAAUUAGAUUGUGGUGCUAUUCAAAUGAUUUGAGGAUCUUUGAAAUGCUUUGAAUACUGUGAGGUAAUGGAAUGAUUCUGUCUCUAGAGACCUAUGCCUUUGAGGCACAAGCAUGAAGGCACUGAGAGUGCCAUUUAAAAUCAUGGUGGAAUCUACAAUUUAAGGCAAACCUUAAGUGUAAUUUUCAUCGUAUCUUCAACACAGAAAUAAAGCUCUGAAGUGUUGGCCCUGUUUUUUUUUUUUUCUCCACAAUUCUGUCCUUCCAUCGUUACCCUCAUAAAACCAGGGCGGACCCUCUCAACAGGUGCCACGUCUGCUGUGACAGCUGCAGCCACACGUGAAGCUUCAGGAGGACGAAUUGCCACUGGGGCUGGUGGCAGCACAUCACAGCUGUGCGCUGUUCUGCAGCAAGGUCGGCUGAGCCAGCACUGCACAGCCAAUAAGGUUGGAAAGCCCAGAAGUGUGGGAAAGCCCACACUUUGCAACGUGUGGGGAAAUGCUAUGGGAAAACCAGGUACAGUAGGAUUUGCUAGUGAAUCUGUUACAGAUCUUGUCCAGAAAUACGUUGUCUCUGAAAACCUGGGAAAGAGGCUGUUUUGUGAAGCCAGGUGGAGAAAAUUGAAACAACUUCCCUAGUUAGACAGGAAAAGCAUUUUCAUUAUUUCUGUAAGAAUGGUAACUGUAUUAUCUAUAAUUUCCUGCCUGCACUGU